UUUUCUUUGUUUUUAUUGG
rnacentral:snRNA from 1 species